rfam:Glarea lozoyensis ATCC 20868 chromosome Tnknown GLAREA12, whole genome shotgun sequence.
UCGUCUUAUGCCUCGCUCGGCCAGCUUCCCUUCCACAGCUGGUCUUGAGCUGGAUACACUAUUGUGUACUAGACAAGAAUGAUCCAACGACCUUUGAGUGCGGAACCUCCUCUUUCUUACGUGGCGGACCUUCGCAAUUUGUCUGUUGAUACAA